AUUUUCUUUGGGGAAGGGAUAUGUGUAUGGUAUGAGGUAAGGAUCUAAUUUUUACCAUAUACACAGCCAAUUAUCCCAGCAUCAUUUAUUGAAUAAUCUGUUCUUUUCCCACUGAGUUGUGGUGCCAGCUCCGUCAGAUACUAAGUUUCCAUAUAUUUAUUUGUGGUUCUGUUUCUAGGCUGUGCAUUUGUUCACAAAGACCUCUAUUUAUCUAUCCCUGUACCACAACUUUUAAAUUAUGAUGGCCUGAUAAUAUAUCUUGAUAUCUGGUGUGGCCUGACCACAUCUUUUUCAAAAUGGUCUUGACUGUUAUUGGCCCUUUAUGCCUUAAUAUGAAUUUCAGGUUCAGCUUGUCAAAUGCUGUAAAAAAUACUAUUGGGAUUUUGAGUGGAAUUCUACUGAAUUUAUAUAAUAAUUUAGGGGAAACUGUCAUAUUUGCUUUUGGAUUGAAUAAUAUGAAAUUGUCAGUAUUUCAGCCUACAAAAAUGGCAAUAUGGUUCUACCUAAUAAUAAAUGUUCUGUCUAAGAAUGUCAAGUAUCUUUGAGUUAUUUAGGUCUUCUAUAGCAUUUAAUAGUUUUAUGAUUUCUCAUUAAAUAUCUUGCUUAUCUUUAAUUAUAUUUAUUCCUAGAUAUGUUGUAAUUUUUGUUGUUAUGUAAAAUGUUACAGGGUUCUCUGAAGGGUCACUCUAUCUGAGUUUUCUCUUUCUUUGGAUAUUAGACAUUAGAACUAAUAUGAAGAACUUUGUGUUGCUGAGAUACUUUAAUUGUAGGCCUGCUUGCUUCUAAAGGGAUAGCCUAAUUCAUUUCCACGUGCUUAUUUGGGUCUCUCCCUGGCUUCUGACACUGCAUACAGAUUCUUCAACUGCUAAAAACAUAAUUCCUAUGGAAACUCAUCAUUUAUUUCUCUUUAACAUAAGACGCUAUAUCAGAUUGAACCAAAUAGGCAUAGAUCAGAACUUGCAAAGAUAGAUGGCUUCUGGGGCUGGGCACGUAACACAAAUGAGUUGAGGGUGAGAUAAUGCGAGGGGGACUGUGACUAUGGAGCAUAGAAAGCCUCUCUCCGUCUAAAAUUGGAAGCCUCUACUUAGCUUGGGAAUUUGGAUAUUUGAGUCCAGUAUUGUCUUCUGAGUUUUAGAGAGAAGGCAGAAAUAUGAAUUUUUUAUGCUAAACCUCAUGAUUUUUAAAUAUUGGAACAAGAUCAACUUAUAUACACUAACUGUGAGGGGCAAUAAAAACAUGUCAUGUAUGCUGCAUAGAUUAGACACAACUUUGACUUAGGGGAUGUACAUAGGGAUACGCUUUUAUAUUUUUAUUAAGCAAGGACCUUCGUGAUCUGGCCCCUCCCCAUCCCCCCAGCUUCUGUGCCUAUUAUAUCCCUAAAUGUGUCCUUGAUAUGAGCCAUGCCGAUCUAUUCACAGUUCAUGUUAAGGCUCAGGGACUUUGCACAUAUUCCCUUGGCACAUGGUUAACAUUUACUUGUCCUUUAAUAUUCAGCUGAAGGAUUAGCUGUUCUGGAAAGCAUUUUCUGAUUCUCUUAGAUCUCUUCUCUGUUACUCCCAUAUUACCCUGUGCAUGCCUCUAACCUGGUACUUACCAUUUUGUAGCAACUUUCUUAUCUGCCCUCUGCACUGUGGGCUCCCGGAGAAUGCUAACUCUGCCUAAUUCAUCACUGAGUCCUCAGUGUCUAGUGCUGUGAUGACAGACAGCUGAUCUUCAGUAAAUGAGAAAAUGACCAAAUAAAUGAAGACAAAGGAAAAUGGAAUAGAGGAAGUGAAGUAGGGGAGUGAGCUUCGCAAUACCUGCUGAAUAUUGUGAAGCUAAGCUUGUCAUUAAUGCUAACUCUCUAUGUGGUAAUAUUGACUGAUGACCUGUAGCAUGUCCAGCUCUCCUCAGAAUUUAUAAAAUUGCAUGUGAGUUAAUUUUGUCUUCUUAAGGUUCUAAAAGUCCCAGUUCCUGGAGCUUAGAAAUGUAGUAAACUCAGGUGGUUUCAUGGGCUUACUAAGACAGUAGCCCCAAAGGGAUAAGUAAAAAUUUACACUGGGCUAUAUUUUAGGAACCUGUCAUGUACUCCAUAGUAUGUGAUGAUGAGACUCAGUGCAAGGACCUGAAUUACCUACUGGGUUGGUUGCUAAUGGGGGUUGUGGGAUCAGUUUGUGACUUUGUUUGGUCUAUACAUGUAUCCCUGGGAUGUAGUCUAAAUUUUCAAUGUGUCCAACCCUUUUAAUUGUCCAGGAACUUUGAAAAAAAUUUUAUUUCUUUCCAUUAUACCUUGAGGUGAAGGACAGUCUUGGCAUUUUACAUAUGAGCACCAUAUUACCCAGGGAAGAUCAUGGAAUAUAAUUUUAAUCCAAUUUAGCAUUAAGUAAAUAAAUCUGUAGAGCUUUUCAAUUCCCCUAUUUGAUUAAAUAAAUGUACAUCAAGUGUUUACCUCCUGUUCCUUAAUACACACAAAGAAUGACUUGUCACUUUCCUAAAUUGGCCUACUUAGUAUGAUCAGUGACUCCUGUUUUAUUGCUCUGUUGACCACCUGUACUUCUGACUCAGAGAAACUUAUGUCUAUCCAAUUUGGCCAAACUAAUCUUCAUCAUCAAAACUGUCUUUGUUAGUCAUCAAAGUCCAAUUCAGAUGUCAUCUCUCUCAUGAAACCUCCCCUGAUCAGCCAUCAGGAGUGCCAAUUUGUAUCUGAUGGAUUUUUAUACCACUCACCAUUGCACAUUUAUGAAUUGACUUUGUUUGUACCUUUUAUGUGUACAUUUUUCAAAGGCUAGCAAAACUUGAGCCCCUCAAGUUCUGUGGUACUAAGGCAUUGUUUCCUGAAUGAACACACUGACUUAUAAUGAACAAAGACACCAGGCCAAAGAGCCAUAGGUGCUGUUGGUAGCUGUGCAGUCCAGUCAGAGGCAGUGAGGAGGAAAUCUUUUGCUGGACUAGUCUAUGUGGAAACACUCCUGUGAAGGCAAAUAACCCAUGAGGAAGAAUAUGAAAGAGAACUCAGGUUCUAGAGAUUUUCAGAGCAAGAGGAAUUUUAAAGCCUAAUUUCCAGAAACAAUGCGUAGUUCAUCUUAAGUAGGCGAAAGCAGUCAUGACUUAUGUGAGAAGAAAGUAAGGGAAAAUGGAAGUGUGAAAGAAAGAGGAUGGACUGUCGCAUCUGGUAGAAUCAGAAGGAAGAGUCCAGCUGGGUGAGCUUUGCCACUGAUGAGUACAAAAGUCUCAUCUAUAUUGCUGACAUACUUCUAAGUUAAGUGGACUGAUUUCACCACCAAGCACCCAAUCUGGCCCUGACACAGAAAAUGACAUAAAGGAGAAAUCAGACAUGUGUGGAAAUAGCUACUUCUCAGGAAUUCCAUAAUUCACCAGUAACUUUCCACUAUGAGAGUACUAUGCACUAAACAAAAGAUUAAAGCACAGGAUGAAGAGU